GGGGACGUGGUAUAGGGGCUAUCACGCUUCAUUUGCAUUGUAGAGUUCACGAGUUCAAUUCUUGUCGUCUCCA
rnacentral:tRNA from 1 species